rnacentral:rRNA from 1 species
UACGUAGGGCGCAAGCGUUGUCCGGAAUUAUUGGGCGUAAAGAGCUCGUAGGCGGUUUGUCGCGUCUGGUGUGAAAAUCCAUGGCUCAACUGUGGACUUGCAUCGGGUACGGGCAGACUAGAGUGCGGUAGGGGAGACUGGAAUUCCUGGUGUAGCGGUGGAAUGCGCAGAUAUCAGGAGGAACACCGAUGGCGAAGGCAGGUCUCUGGGCCGCAACUGACGCUGAGGAGCGAAAGCAUGGGGAGCGAACAGG